ensembl:lncRNA
GAGGGUGAAGGUCUCGCUGCCAGAGGGAAGUUUCCAGAAAAACAGGUACGUGAGGAUCCCUGUGAAUGCUGCUGCAUGAAAAGGUGAGUUUGGGAUUUUGAUUUUGCAUUCAUAUAUCUAAUAUUUUGAAAUCUCAACAAUAACACACCUCGACAAGAUCCUGCCGCGUUUUUCUUUUUGAUUUCUUCCAGACUGAUGAUCCCAGGACCCAAGACCAAGACGGGGAUGAGCCCAAAAGACCACUUGAAGACGAGUGACGGAGCCCCAACAGAGAUGAAGCCAGAGAUGACGACCAGCCUGUGAGAAGAAAGAACAACUUUACUGAGACUUUACCGGAUGCACUGGCAGAUUCAGACAGGAUGGAACAGAGAUGACGGGAGGCAGAUCCAGGACCAGUGCAUGACUCCUGAGACCAUUCAAUUAGCACAAGAGCCAUCUCUCCAAGACCCCCGAUCUCAUGAAAGAUCAGAUCAAGAAACCAGACAAGGAACAGCCCAUGAUGUCAGUCCAGAUUAUGGAAGAGGGGAUGAUUAUUAUAGUGACACAAAAGGAGGAAGUGGGAGCAUCCAGAGGAAACCCACACAGUCGCAGAGAGAACAUGAACAGAAGGAACCAGCUGAGCAGCAGGUUGGUACCAAUGUAAAUGCAAUGUGCCGUGUGAUAGCGAAUUGUUCCAGACUGCUACUGAAUCUGAAUCUCACACACACAUCUGUGAUUUGUUUCUUCCAUCGCUGUGACUUCAAAACCAAAGAAGAUAAAGAGACGGUUGGAGGAGCCCCAAGACAGAAGAAACAGGCCAGGAAGACAAAGAAGAAGAAGAAGAAGAGGAGGAUCAGCUCCAGAUAUCCCCAAUGGUUUCUCUGGAUCUGGAGCUGCAUGUUUCUGAUCUGCUCUUAUCGGCCUCAGCGACCUCCAAAGUCUUCAUGUUCUCUUCCUCCUCUCUACCCUCAACCCAACCAGAGUUUUUUUUUUUUAACUUCCCAGAUGGAAGUUUUUUUUUCUCACCCCAACUGGAGUUGUGUUUUUUUUUACUUCCCAACAACAGGAAGUUUUUUUUCCCUCCACACUGGUACCACAUACUUGAUCUGAUCAUACUGCAAAAAGAGAGAUCCUCAAAUAAAA